UCGCGCAACUUCUGGUACUGCCCCUGAUUCUGAUUUCAUUAGGUAUGUUUUGUCAAUGGAUCUAAGAAGAUGACCAAUUCUAUGGUGCUCUUAAUUCUUUGUUAUAUAUGAAUCUCUACAUAUGCCAUUUCUCUAAAAAUGGAUGUGACGAUUUUUCAGUAAUUACCAUUCAUAUGGUUCAGUUUUAUCACUUGCCUUAUCUUCUACAGAAAACACCUUAUAAUGAGAGUCGAUAGGCAAAUUAUCACAAACAUGCAUGUUUGAACACAAAUGCAACAACAAAGUCGAGAUAUUUUCAAAUUCAUUCUUAUCAAGUAAUUUUCUGAUGUGCAGCCUUGCAACCCAGCAGUCAGUUGACCUGCAAAAUCACAAGCUGUUCAGGAGGUGGAUGCACUUGGAGGUGAAAUUGGGAAGCUUGCAGAUAGUACAAUAAAGUUUUUGGCAAAGGAGAUUCAAAGAUGGUGUAUGCGAUGCAAAUUCUAUUGUGUUGUGUUUUUUUGGGAUUCUUAUUUGAACUUGAUGCAUUGCCCAUUUUAUGUCUUGAAAAAGAUUGCAUCUCCUUAGAUUUGUGUAUGGAUUUGAGAAAUGAUACGCGUUGGGUGUCUGACUUUGAGGCAGUUAUAGAGAACUUGAUGAAUAUGAAGGGAUUGGAAUUUCUUGGAAUCAAGUUAAUCUCUUUGAAUUGUUGAGGAGGAAAAAGUACACACUGGACUAGCUUUGCUUGAACAUAACAUUGUAACUUUUUUGUAGUUAUAUAAGGAGCAGUAGUAGAUAGUUGAUAAUCUGAGUAUUUUGUACAAGCGUGUUUCAAUCGUAUGCAGUCAAAUUGAAUGUAUUUUUUUUAAGUUUUUCUCAAAAUUUAAUGGGAUAUUAAAAAGAUACUUAGUAUAUUUAUUUAUUGGUAUUA